rnacentral:rRNA from 1 species
UAGGGCCGGCAUAUGUGAUUCAUGAGUAGGCAGGGGAAAUGAGCUGGAAAGCUCUGCCAGAGCGGGUGACAGCCCCGUACCUGAAACCCAAAGCGACACAGCCGGUACCUGAGUACCGCGAGACACGUGGAACCUCGUGGGAAUCCGGGAGGACCAUCUUCCAAGGCUAAGUACUAACCGACGACCGAUAGUGUACCAGUACCGUGAGGGAAAGGUGAAAAGAACCUCUGUUAGAGGAGUGAAAUAGAAUCUGAAACCUGGUGCUUACAAGCUGUGAGAGCGGACUUGUUCCGUGAUCACGUGCCUUUUGCAUAAUGAGUCAGCGAGUUAAUCUGUACUGCAAGGUUAAGCGCAAGUGGAGCCGUAGGGAAACCGAGUCUGACAAGGGCGAUGAGUAGUGCGGAUUAGACCCGAAACCGGGUGAUCUAUCCAUGAGCAGGUUGAAGCAAGGGUAAAACCUUGUGGAGGACCGAACCAAUACCGGCUGAAAACGGUUUGGAUGACUUGUGGAUAGGGGUGAAAGGCCAAUCAAACCCGGUGAUAGCUGGUUCUCCCCGAAAUAUAUUGAGGUAUAGCCUCAUGGAUUGUCUACCGGAGGUAAAGCACUGACAGGGCUAGGGGUCCUACCAGAUUACCAAACCCUAUCAAACUCAGAAUGCCGGUCAGAUGUACCAUGGGAGUCAGACGGCGGGUGCUAAGGUCCGUCGUCGAGAGGGUAAGAGCCCAGAUCAACAGCUAAGGUCUCCAAAUCUAUGCUCAGUGGUUAAGGUGGUGACGUUGUAGAGACACCCAGGACGUUGGCUUAGAAGCAGCCAUCGUUUAAAGAAAGCGUAAUAGCUCACUGGUCUAAUGACGUUGCGCCGAAAAUGUAACGGGGCUAAGCAUAGUACCGAAGCUUUGAAUUCCGCGAAUGCGGUCUGGUAGGGGAGCGUUCUUCACGGGCUGAAGGUGUGUCGUAAGGCAUGCUGGACUGUGGAGAAGUGAUUAUGCUGACAUGAGUAACGAUAAAAUGGGUGAAAAACCCGUUCGCCGUAAACCCAAGGUUUUCCGGGUAAAGGUAAUCUUCCCGGAGUUAGUCGGCCCCUAAGGCGAGGCUGAAAGGCGUAGCUGAUGGGAAACGUGUUAAUAUUCACGUACUUGUGUGUUCGCGCGAUGAAGGGACGCAGGAAGAUAGGCAAGCCGGGCGCUGGUUGUCCCGGUGCAAGCGUGUAGGGAUGAGAAAUUGGCAAAUCCGUUUCUCUCUAUCCUGAGACGCGAGUCCGUGACCGAAAGGUCUGAAGUUGUUGAGUCUAUGCUGCCUAGAAAAGCUUCUAAGUAUAGGACACGCAAACCGUACCGGAAACCAACUCAGGUGGGUGGGAUGAAUAAUCCAAGGCGCUCGAGAGAACUCUGGCCAAGGAACUCGGCAAAAUAACCCCGUACCUUCGGAAGAAGGGGUGCUUUUUAGGGUGAAGCGAUUCACUCUGUCGAGCCCUGAAAAGCCGCAGAGAAAUGGUGGUGGCGACUGUUUACUAAAAACAUAGGUCUGUGCCAAGUCGUAUAGACGACGUAUACGGACUGACGCCUGCCCGGUGCUGGAAGGUUAAAAGGAGAUGUGCAAGCAUUGAAUUGAAGCCCCAGUGAACGGCGGCCGUAACUAUAACGGUCCUAAGGUAGCGAAAUUCCUUGUCAGGUAAG